UUUAAAAAAAAAAAAAGAAAAAGAUUCUUUCCUCUUCUUGCUUGUGCGAUCACGGCCCCAAACCGCCCCCCUCAUCUUCUAAACUUUUCUAUCGCCUCUAAGCUAAAGUAUUGUUGCCAUCAUCUUCUGUUCAGUCGUUGCCUCUCCUUCUUGCUUCCCAGCCAUCAUUGCCCCGCUCCUCUCUGUUUCAAGAACCAGUCAGUCAGCCGCCAAGCGACACCCACGGGUAAUAAUGUCAUUAUUGCUCUCGCUUUCACCUAUUUUCCAAAAUGGUUUAGCUUGCCCAUGGAUCUGAUAUGCUUGAGUUUUUUACUGAAAUCUCAAGCAAGAUUAACACGGAGAUCCUAUAUAUAUCCCGAAUCUUAGCCAAUGUUUUUGCAAAAUUUGAUUUUUCUAAAUUUUAGUUUACAUUCACGUUGAGUAGUAUUUUUAAUUUUUCAAAAAUAAUAUUUAAUGUUAAGCAAAAAAAUAUUUCUUCUUUCUAAUUGUGUAUUUUUCUUCUACAACAACAGUAAUUUUCUUAUCUUCACAAGAGAGCUCUAAAAAUUACGAAAGUAAACUUACUUGCAAAAAUAUCAUUUGUUAGAUUUUUUUGACAAAUAUAGAAUUUGUUUCUUUUUAUUUAAAGAAAGAUAAAAGAUAUUCCUUUUUUCUUUCUAUUUAAAGAAAUAUAAAAGAUCUUCCUUAUCUUUAGGAUCUUUUCUAAAUAUCUUUUAUUUUUUAAAAAGAUUUGUUAUGCCCAUCUUCAAGAAGAAAGUUUCAAAUCUUUCUCCUCAUUAUAAAAGGAGAAGGUAUUUGUCAUUCUUUGCAUUCUUCAAAGACGUUUUUCAAGCUACAAUUCAUGAAGAAUCUUUGCAAAAGGUAAGUUAUUACCUUUUUAGAUAUUAUAUGAAGAUUGUUUGAUAUCUUUAUAGACAACUCAAGAUGUAUUCGAGAUAAGAGAUUUAAAGAAGAUUUUUCUACAGGGGAAGUCAAACCAUAUUCAUUAGAUUCAAAUACAAUUUAGGGGGAGUCUAGUUAUUUUUAGUUUCUGUUUAUAAUUAAAAAGAAUGCUAGAUCUAGGAGGAGUGCUGUAACGCCCAAAAAAAAAUUUGAAAUUUAAUUUUAUUAUCUUAAGUGUCGUUAUUGAAAUUUUUGGAUGUAAUGGAGGAAACUUUAUUAAUUAUAUUUUUGGUUGUGUAAUUCAUUAAGUUUUGAGAACAAUAUAAUUAUUUUAUUUGGAUAAUAAAAUUAGUAAAGAUAUUUGUUGAAGAAAAAGAAAAUUGGGUUGAGGGGAGAGAAAAUUGAAUUAUUUGGUUAAAGAUAAUGGUGAUGUUUUAUUUGGAAAGGAAAAUAAUAAUAAAGGGAUUGUUGUGAUUGGAUGAUUUUGAAAUUUAAAUGGAGAUUUGGAGGGAUUUAGUGAAGAGAGAGAAAAUUGGUUUUGUUUGGGUUAAAAUAAGGAAAAGGAAAGGGAAAAAUAAUUUUGGCAAAUUAUUGGUGUUUAAAAAGCCCAUCGGGACACGUGCACCAUAAAACCCAUCAUCUUUUUCUUUGGAAAAAAAGGGAAAAAACAAACCCUAACCCUAGUAGAAGAACCCUAGCCGCCGCUGCCGCCACUUCACUGUCGCCGUCGGCCGCCGCAAACCCGCAACAAGCCGCGUCAGCCACUCUCUCCGAAGAAGUCUUCCCCGCACCGUCGAGGUUUCCGUCACCGCCGCCCGUUUUUCUCUUCCUCCGUCCGAUCUCCUCUACCUGGGAGCCGUCGUCGGCCGUCUACUCUCAAUCACAGUCUGCCGCUCGUUAUGCAGGUCAAGCGGUUGGUAGCGCCGGUCGUCGUCGAAUCCUGCCGUGUUAGGUCGUCGCCCCUAUCCAAACUUAGAGACCCGAGCCGCGUUGCCCCAGCUGUUCCGCACCUCCAGCCGUCCGUGCGCCCACGUGAAGCUAAGCCGUCAGCUGAUAGCCGCACGCGCGUCCCCGCAAGUCGCGCACGAGGAAGCCAAGCCGCCCCUCCCAGUCGAGCACGCGCGCGAGCCGUGCGCGAUCCCCCGAGCCGUGUGCGUCUGCUCGAGCUGAAUUCUCUACUCCCAACCGAGCCGCCAACCAUUUUUGAGCCGCCAAGCCUAUUUUUGGUUCUUUUCCCACCUAUUUUUGGAACAUCUUGGACCAAGUGAUUUUGCAGCGUGGGAUUUCUUCAGUUAAGGGCUCAAGCGUUGCGACCUCGACCUAGGGACCUUGCUGCUUGGAAAGUGUGACUUUUCAGCUAGAACUUGUUGGGCUAAUCUCCAGAGGUAGAGGUAAGAACAAAGGCAAGCUGGCGAGUGAUCAGAAGUGAUCAUGGCGGGCCAUAGGGAUACGCUUACUUCCGCUUAUGUCAAAAUUCAGAUUUUAGUAUUACAUUUCUAAUUCAUUCUUUAUUGGUUAUUUUAUUUCUUUAAAACUAGGUAGGGCCUGAG